rnacentral:lncRNA from 1 species
UCGCAGAACGUGUUUGGACUUUUGGUGUGAUCUUGGUUCUUUUGCUUGAGCGAUGGCUCCAGUAUUGUCACACAACAAUGGAACCGCACCUUCUAUUGAAGGAACCACACCAAGUUCAAUUAAGAACUUUUUCAUCCAUGCAGCUUCCUUAGCAGCUUCACUAGCUGCUAUAUAUUCUGCUUCAGUCACUGAAUCUGCUACUGUAGCUUGUUU